rnacentral:lncRNA from 1 species
GGAGGCAGCAGCUGAACCUGGGCUAGAACUACGUCUCCUUAAGUUGUCCAAAUAUUUUGACUAGAAAAAAGUUCUAGCCACUUUUAAUCAUAAUUAAGCAAAGCAGUGUUUGCCCCUCCUUUCUAUUUAGCCAGUCAUAUGCCCUUCUUCAAAUCUAUGUAAUUAAAUCUUCUUUCCUCCAAAAACACUUGCAUAGUUCAUCUUAUCCCUCUCUCAUGUCCCCUACUUUAUUUACUUACAGAAUUCAGGUGAAGAGUCUGGUUCUCCUAUAUCAACGAAUACGUUACCCUGUGCCAAUCAUCUAGAUUUGUGUAUAAUACAAAUAGUCAUUGCAAAGUGUAGUAAAUAUCUCCAAGAGAAAAAUGUUGGACAGAAUCCAAGGGCCUUGGAAAGCAGACAAGACAAUCCAUCUUCUCCCAGGGAAUUGAAAAUGACUAGAGGGCAGCUUGGAAAACCCUAUUAAGACAGAAGCCCUGUGAAACUCAGAAAAGCAUUUUGCUCUGGGAAUUCAAACCACGAUCCUAGCUCACUGGCAGACAUCUGCUGUUCACUGAUAGCACCAUCUGGUAUUUCAACUCCUUCCUUUGUUGUAGAAGCUUCAUGUAGCUGCCUCCCCAAAUUAAUUAUUCUAUAACAACUUGUUUUCUGGAAGCACAGGCCAAAUAGGGCAGUUUUGCUGAAAACUACUAAUUCAGUGCUUUGCUCGUGCUGGAAUGGGCAUUCCUGUGCCUUCCCCUCAUCAUGGUCUAAGUGUUUCAAGCCAUUAUAUUUAAAGGAGUGAGGGGCAGGGGAGGAAUGUAUGCUAACGCCGUGAGUAAGGAACUUGGGAAAAAAAUGUGUUUAUCUGCAUUUCACCAGCUCAUGAGCAUGCAUGGCC